UAGGGAAUCUUCGCCAAUGGGGGCAACCCUGACCGAGCAACGCCGCGUGAGUGAAGAAGGUUUUCGGAUCGUAAAGCUCUGUUGUAAGAGAAGAACGUGUGUGAGAGUGGAAAGUUCACACAGUGACGGUAACUUACCAGAAAGGGACGGCUAACUACGUGCUAG
rnacentral:rRNA from 1 species